rnacentral:rRNA from 8 species
AGACCUCAGGUCAGGCGGGGCUACCCGCUGAGUUUAAGCAUAUCAAUAAGCGGAGGAAAAGAAACUAACAAGGAUUCCCCUAGUAACGGCGAGU